CACGGAGGGCGCAAGCGUUGUCCGGAAUUAUUGGGCGUAAAGAGCUCGUAGGCGGUCUGUUGCGUCCGCUGUGAAAACUCGGGGCUUAACCCCGAGCCUGCAGUGGAUACGGGCAGACUAGAGGUAGGUAGGGGAGAAUGGAAUUCCCGGUGUAGCGGUGAAAUGCGCAGAUAUCGGGAGGAACACCGGUGGCGAAGGCGGUUCUCUGGGCCUUAACUGACGCUGAGGAGCGAAAGCGUGGGGAGCGAACAGG
rnacentral:rRNA from 1 species